GAUGAACGCUAGCGGCAGGCCUAACACAUGCAAGUCGAACGGUAACAUAAGAGCUUGCUCUUGAUGACGAGUGGCGCACGGGUGAGUAACGCGUAUGCAAUCUACCUAUAACUGAGGGAUAGCCCAGAGAAAUUUGGAUUAAUACCUCAUAAUAAUAUUUUUUGGCAUCAUUAAAUAUUUAAAACUUCGGUGGUUAUAGAUGAGCAUGCGUUCUAUUAGUUUGUUGGUGAGGUAAAAGCUCACCAAGA
rnacentral:rRNA from 1 species